AAUCGAACUCGGAGAUAGCUGGUUCUCCCCGAAAUAGCUUUAGGGCUAGCCUCAUAUUAGAUACCCGGAGGUAAAGCACUGAAUGGCCUAGCGCCCGAGAGGGUAGCGAAGCCUAUCAAACUAAGAAUGCCGGAGUAUUGAUGUAUGGGAGUCAGACAGUGUGAGAUAAAUCUCAUUGUCAAAAGGGAAACAGCCCAGAUCUACAGCUAAGGUCCCAAAUUGUAUCUAAGUGGAAAACGAUGUGGAAAUACGCAGACAACCAGGAUGUUGGCUCAGAAGCAGCCACUCAUUUAAAGAGUGCGUAAUAGCUCACUGGUCGAGCGUCUCUGCGCGGAAAAUUUAACGGGGCUAAGAUACAAACCGAAGCUUAGGCUGCACGUAAGUGCGGGGUAGGGGAGCGUUGUGUAAGCGGAGAAACAGUAGCGUAAGCGGCUGUGGAGUUUACAGAAGUGAGAAUGCCGGAAUGAGUAGCGCGAAUGUGGUGAGAAUCCACAUGGCCGGAAACCUCAGGUUUUUGGAGGAAGGUUCGUCCGCUCCAAGUUAGGCGGGAGCUAAGGUCAGGCCGAAAGGCGUAGCCGAUGCACAGACGGUAGAGAUUCCGUCCCCACCGAAAGAUUUAAGCACAGGGACACUUUUUGAAGGUCGGAGCCAGGUGUUGGUUCUGGUAGUGAUCGAGGGAAAUAUAGUACCGAAGUCCGGCUGGAGAAGAGGCGAGAAAAGCUGUGUGUAUAUCUAAGGUGCCCGUACCGCAAACCGACACAGGUAGGUAGGAAGAAGAUUCUAAGGCCAACGGGAGAAGGGUUGUUAAGGAACUCGGCAAAUUGACCCCGUAACUUCGGGAGAAGGGGUGCUCCAGAGAUGGAGCCGCAGAGAAUCGGCCCAAGCAACUGUUUACCAAAAACACAGGUUUGUGCUAAAUCGAAAGAUGACGUAUACGAGCUGACGCCUGCCCGGUGCUGGAAGGUUAAAAGGAGAUGUGCAAGCAUUGAAUUGAAGCCCCAGUGAACGGCGGCCGUAACUAUAACGGUCCUAAGGUAGCGAAAUUCCUUGUCAGGUAAGUUCUGACCCGCAUGAAAGGCGUAAUGAUUUGGGCACUGUCUCAACAGCCCGCCCGGCGAAAUUGUAGUACCGGUGAAGAUGCCGGUUACCCGCGACAAGACGGAAAGACCCCAUGGAGCUUUACUGUAGCCUGAUAUUGGGUUUCGGUGUUGCAUGCACAGGAUAGAUGGGACACUGGGAAGGCAGUGCUUUGGCAUUGCUGGAGUGGACGUUGGGAUACCAUCCUUGCGACAUUGGAAUUCUAACCUGCGCCUCUGAAUCGAGGCGGGGGACAUUGUCAGGUGGGCAGUUUGACUGGGGCGGUCGCCUCCUAAAAAGUAGCGGAGGCGUUCAAAGGUUCGUUCGAUCUGGACGGAAACCAGAUGAUUGAGUGCAAACGCAUAAACGAGCCUGACUGCGAGACUGACGGGUCGAGCAGAGACGAAAGUCGGAGUUAGUGAUCCGGUGGUAUGUGAGUGGAAAUGCCAUCGCUCAACGGAUAAAAGUUACCCUGGGGAUAACAGGCUGAUCUCCCCCAAGAGUCCACAUCGACGGGGAGGUUUGGCACCUCGAUGUCGGCUCAUCGCAUCCUGGGGCUGUAUUCGGUCCCAAGGGUUUGGCUGUUCGCCAAUUAAAGCGGUACGCGAGCUGGGUUCAGAACGUCGUGAGACAGUUCGGUCCCUAUCUGUCGUGGGCGCAGGAUAUUUGAAAGGCGCUGUCCCUAGUACGAGAGGACCGGGAUGGACGAACCUCUGGUGCACCAGUUGUCACGCCAGUGGCACAGCUGGGCAGCUAUGUUCGGAUCGGAUAAACGCUGAAAGCAUCUAAGCGUGAAGCCGGCCUUAAGAUAAGAUAUCCCACUGAGUCAAUCAGGUAAGACCCCUUGA
rnacentral:rRNA from 1 species